GGAGAGCCUUGGCCCUUUCGACCUGGACCCAGACAUAGAGGAGAUGCCAGACGGGCCAAGGGUAAGCCCUGAGGUGGCCCUUUAGGUAUACCUGAGCCCACAGCUUGGGAACUCGGUACCUAUUUUGACUGAUGGGACUAGACAGGGCCUCUCCAGCGGGUGCGGGUUGAAGAGUGAAGGAGAACAAUCUUACACUCGACCCAAGCCUCGCCUGGGUUCCCCCCGUCUGAAGGUUCUGCCCCUACCUUCAAUGCAUAGGGUACUCCGAAAUGAGCCAGAUGACCCUCACGACUCGAUUGGGCGACUAUCACAGAGGCUUCUCGACAGAAGUCUACCCCUGGGACUGCGCGCUCUCCAUUCUUGAGAAUGCGACAGGACCAGGUGCUCGGGCCGCUAAGAUAAUGGUUUCAAAGAGAAGCCCUGCCCUGAGGCUUUUCUGUAUUCACGAUUUGCACUGGGACUUGGGGACAUGGUGAACCGCGGCUUCUGUCUCGGGGUCCGGAGCUAGCACCCGGGGACCGACAUUGCCAUCUAGCGGUGCGCACAGGUCAGGGUGACGGCUGCUUGCCUUCCUAGAUCCUAGUGGGUCCGGAUUCCGGGAAAACUGUGUCCACGGGUGUUGAGGUGUGAACGUCUGAGAGAGAAUCAGAGAGGUCCGGAAAGAGAACUAGGACCGAGUUGAGAAAACUGGAUUUUACCCAGUCUGUAUCUGGCAGGGUCCCGGGAAGGCCAAGCCACCCACCGUACAUCUGGUCGCUUACUUGUCAAGGCUGUUUCUGGUUCCAGGAGGACAAAAGGUCAAACCCAAGUAAGGGAGCUGUAUGGAAGGUGAGGGCUUCUCACCUAAGAUGCAUCUGGUGGGCUUCUCCCUGGUGUGGUGUGGAAGGUAACUUGGAGAUAAGAAAGUGUCUCUGGAUGCUAAUCCUGACCCACCCCUUCUUACAAACUGAAUGACUUUCAUCAAAUUCAUUAACAUGAAGCUCUUCUUCAGAAGAGGACAUUUAUAUCUGUAAGAUGAGGCUAGCAAUAGCAUGACACCUUUUCUGGCUGCUAUAGGCAUUAAACGUGAUGAUCUAUAGGAAAAGCUCCAAGGGACUCCUGACUCAAGUUAACACUCCAUAAACAAGACACGUUGUAUUUUCCUAUCUCACACAUCUUUUCCCCACCCCCACCCCCACCCAUGCUGGCUGCUGGCACUGUUCUGGCCCUGAGAGACUAAAGUGAGGGGUUUUUUUGUUUUUGUUUUUUUGUUUUGUUUUGUUUUUGGUGUGUGCUAAUGGCUCCCCUCCUGGCUUACCUCUGCCCCUGCCAGUGAGUGUCCUGGGAAAGGUGGCCUCUGUGCUACUACUACUGUCCCAGCUCAGGGGCUGAUGCUUGAGGCUCCAUUUUGGAGGCUCUCAGAGCUGAACAGCACUGUGGAGACUCUUGAAAGGACCAUCUUCCUUUGUCCUUGACUCCUUGGGUGACCUUGGAGGU
rnacentral:lncRNA from 1 species